GUCAGUGCCAGUGUCGUACUGAGUUUGGAAGCAGACAGUGUGAUGAGUGUGGGGAGAAUCACUUUGGGAACCCUGGCCUGCGCUGUGUCACCUGUGACUGCAAAUGGAGGGUACCGACCGGCCUGCCUGCGACCCAUUGACGGGUGAGUGCCUGUGCACAUUGGUGUGAAGGGCAUCUUCUGUGACGAGUGUGCCCCUGGGUAUGACCAAGUCUUCCCUGCCUGCACCCCGUGCCAACCCUGUGCCGUCCUGUGGGCGGACAACGUCACCGACGUCCACCGUGCCGCCCAGAGGAUGCGUACCUUUAUGCCUUGCAACGGUGAGCAACUGGAGCCAGGAUACAGUCGUCGGUGGGAACGCAUGCUGGAGAUGCACUCCAAGUUGGACUAUCUGGUGAACCUGACUGGGAGAUUUCUACCUCGGGUGAAGGAUGUGGAGAAGUUCUGUGUCAGAAUCUCGAAGCUCAAAGACACCAUAGAUCCCAACGGCAUCAUCAUGGACCUAACGUCUAUUCUGAACACUGAGAUCGACAACAUCCGAAGUUCAAGAUACCAUUGGAUAACUUAAAGGACAAAAUCAGCGAGGAGCCAACAGUAGAUACAGUGAAACUGCAAGGUACAUAUGGCCAUAUAGUUUGUUUUUUUAUCAUUUGGAAUUCACUGUAAUUUCACUGUGUAUGUAGAGCAACUUGAUAAAAUGUAAAGUGUGAGUAUCUGAUUGGUGGUGUUAGGUUCUAAUUAUCAGAGUAAGAACUCGACGGACACUAUGAAAGCUUAAACCAAGUUUAUUCUACCCUAAGGAUCGAACAGCUGAACUGACAAAAUACAUAUUCACACAAGCACUGAUAUUUAACCCUUUCUCCUAUGCUGAGUCUCCUCCUACACAUCUG